CUGCAAGCCUCCAGCGUGCUUGGGUCUGGCGUGACCCUGUGCAUUUCUAUAGUGCUUGCAAUAACAUUAUGAAAUGGUUUGAGUCCUUGCCCUUGUUACAUCCAGAGCAAGUUUAUAGAAAUUUUAGACACUU